rnacentral:misc_RNA from 1 species
GUGAAGAACGUAGCGAAAUGCGAUAAGUAAUGUGAAUUGCAGAAUUCAGUGAAUCAUCGAAUCUUUGAACGCACAUUGCGCCCCCUGGUAUUCCGGGGGGCAUGCCUGUCCGAGCGUCAUUACAACCCUCAAGCUCAGCUUGGUGUUGGGCCCCGCCGCCCCGGCGGGCCCUAAAGUCAGUGGCGGUGCCGUCCGGCUCCGAGCGUAGUAAUUCUUCUCGCUCUGGAGGCCCGGCCGCGUGCCCGCCAGCAACCCCCAAUUUUUUUUCAGGUUGACCUCGGAUCAGGUAGGGAUACCCGCUGAACUUAAGCAUAUCAAUAAGCGGAGGA